rnacentral:lncRNA from 1 species
UUUUUUUUUUUUCUUUUAUGGGGUCUGGCUAUUUAAGUUCGUCCUAACUACUUGUAAGUCAGAGUGUGACAUUCCAGAUUGGACACAACCGAGAAAGCCCUGCAAUGCUCGUUUCUAAAUCCAAUCCUCACAGUCUUGUUAUCUUUGUCAGAACAACCUAGUAACUGCUUCCUCAAUGUUUUAAUUUAGAUUUCUGAGAUACACGAGGAAUUUAGAUGUUAUCCCCCCCACACCCACCCCACCUUAAAAAUGUGGCAGCGCCUUGCUGUUUCUAGGACAAGCUAAAAAGAAACAGAUCAAGCAGCAGCGAAGCCCUGAAAUGUUAUUCUAAGUCGUUUUCAGAUUUCAGUCCUUCUGUACAGUAGUUGGUCCUCACUCGGGGAUAUAUUGCUCAAGAAAACAGUCAUGGCCCGGCCAGAGAUGCAUAAUGAUGCUGGUCUAAUGAUAAACAGGAGGCAGCUCAUUGUCCCAAUUGUUCCAAUUCUAUAGUUUCAGGGGGUUGUAAAUGAAAAAGAAACAUGAGAACAACUCCUAUUGCUUUUACUAUAAAUCGAAUGCAAACAAUUUUGUCAAGGCCCUUGCACAAUACAAUACAUCUUUGUAUAAGUCUCUUUGGAACAUCCAUGGCUGUAUGUAUAUGUCAGUUAAAGAACUGUUUGGGUAGGACUGAAAGGCGACACCAAGUCAUCAUAUGAGUGGAAGCUUGAAGCUUUCUGGAUGAAGAAUUACCAUCCUGUUUGCCCAGAUUUCUGUGGCAAAAAGUCAUGGCAAUUCCAUCCGACCAUGCUUGGAUGCUAAAACAGCUUUGGCGUCCCCCCUCGUUUUGUCCUUGAGAAAGUCAGGUGUCCAUGGCUAGGGUAUCUGGACCCUAAACCAGACACCCAAUCCAAAUGCAGCAAAAACAAAGAACUAUUGUGAUCGGAUAAAUGCUUCCUUCUCAGGCAGCAUUUGUAGUUUCACUCUCUUUGUUUCUCAGUUCGCUGCUUUGGUGAGGUCUCCAGCAGCUGACAAACAGAGCCUAAAAUUUAAGACAGUCGGUGAAGGUCAAGUCCGCUUUCCCUGCACUUUUUGUGAAAGAAGAGCCCAGGCAUCUUACCUUGAAAAAAAUACAAAAAACCAAAAAACCCACAAAGGGGGCUUAGGCAUUUAUCUAGUGGGAUUCUUCUGCAUCCUCGACAACACUCUUGCAUUGGUCACAUGAGUGAGCUCCGCUGUCAACAGACUCUUCCACGGAGUUUUGGAUUCUGAGGCUCUGAGAUAUGAUAAAGUGGUGUGUUUGAAAUCUUCAAAAAGAAGAGCAGAAAUCCAAACCGGGGAGAGGCAAAGAGAGUGAGGUAACAAAAGGAAAACAUGAUACUUGCUUACUAAGCCAACUUCUAAAUGUAGGGCACUCCAAGUUAAUUUCCAAAGCCAAUUGCAAGGGAGCUAUUGCGAUCUCUGUAGGAAAAUCCGAUCAAGCUGUCAAAGGGCUUCAGUAUGAAGUGCUUUGUGGUUGAGGAAGUUAUCAAUUUGUUUACUUUCAGAUUCGUUUAUGCCUUCAGUCUUGGGGGUGCCCUUUUUUGCUGGGACAAUUCACCUUUUUUUCAUGAACACAGCCAUCUUUCCAUUAUUUAAGCGAAGGAAACAGUUAUGGAAGGAAACACUUCAGCAGAUAAGAUCAACAGGGAAGAGAACACCCAUUAUCUUCCUUUAACUCUCUCUUUCUCAGACUGUAACUGUAUCCUCUUAAGUUUCCCCAAAAGUAUUUCAGGUUGAGAACACAGCAACCAUACUCUGUGUGUGUGUGUGUGUGUGUGUGUGUGUGUGUGUGUGUGCAUAAAGCAAUGGAUACUUCUUAACCUUCUAGGCCACGAAGGUAACUCGCAAUGGAUACUUCUUAAACUAUCUCCUCUUAGCCAACUUAUGCUCCACUUUACAAGUAGAAUGCAUUUGUCCAUGAGUGGCAGCUGGCACACCCAAAUGGGGAGGGGUGCCAGCUCAGAACGGUAGGGAUCAAAUCUCAUGACACUAACAAGUAGGGUAAGGAGAGCUCUCCAAAUCGAAAGUCCUUAUUUUGGUGACAAGGUUGAGGGUUAUGAGGAAAGAAGGGAGUCCUUCUGGGAAACAACUUUUUUUCUGCUUAUAAGAAAAGGAGAUGUGGCAGAUUCUUCUACAUAGACGGGCCAUGUGGCUGCGUACGCUGGCCGCUUAGAAAGGACAGCACACGUGGCCCGCUGACAUUCUUACUCCAUGUCCGCGCUAUAUCUGUCCUUCCUCCAGGACCUGCAAAAACUUUAAAGAGAAAAAAAAAUGGAAUUCUGUUUUUCUAUCCUGUUUGUGUCCAUUUCUUCCUGGAUCAUACUUUUAAGUCUUUGGCUUUGCCUUUGUGCCAUGGACACACUACAAAUCUGCUCAUGAUUAUUAUCAUUAAUUAUGCACCUAAAUACUACAUAUACCCUCAAUACCAUAUAUGCCCCAAAUACAAAAUACUAUGUAUGCCCUGCAUGGUCAUAUGUGGAACAGCAAAUAAGUCCUUUACUUUAUUGCAUGAACUGGAUCGGUAUGAGUUCAGGUCUUAAACACUCUGUACGGGACUAGAAGCCACGGGUGCAGCACUGUCAAACCCUAUGUCCCGAACAGCCAGGCACUAAUUACAACGCUGGCGAACGAGUGCCCAGGGCGUGUAAAAUAAUUUUGAUUUAAAUUUAAACUCUUAGAAAUGAAAUGCCAAUACGUAAAGAAAAAGCGAUAUUCAAGUACAUUUCAAAAAGAAACUCCUCUCCUUUUCAUCAUUCGGUGGUUUCUUGGUUUGCCACUCUAGUGGAAACCUCCUGUCUGCUUGCCCGGUAUCUGCUACCCCUCUUUUGGUAACACCUCACAUUUCCUUAGAGGCUCUCCACCCCCACGAGCCCUGCCCACCGCUCUCUCCACAGCUCCUUCCACCCCAGCCCCUGUGUGGCUGGAAGGCAAACUGUCUCCAGCUCUGCCUGCCAAGUUGGGCUUGGGACCCAGCACUGAGCAAAAAGAGUGUUUCUCUCACUGGCUGUAGCCAUUGGCUCAUGGAUGAACAUGAAAUCUAGUCAAAGUAAAUGAAACCCAGCACAGGGCUUCUGUGGUAAAGACUAAAAGAUGAAUGGCGAGAGCAUCAGCCAUAUUAUGGGCUUUGAGCUGCUGAGAAGCCAUCUUACUAUCAAGAAGAACACAAAAGAAGGACUAGAAAGAAGUGGAAAGUUUCCAGGGUUUUUUGGUUGGUUUUUUUUUUUUGGCAGUUAGAGCCAACAAAACUUGCUGAGUUGACAUGAUAUUCUUACUACUUGGGUGUAGGUGAUGAGAGAAGGGAGGACGCUUGAAUAUGCCCUAGUUGUUUUUUUUCCUCUGAAAAAUUUGAGUAAAUGGUGCUGCCAUUUACGGAGCUGAAGAAAGAUGGAAGGAGACACAAGACUGGGGGGGGGGGCUGGAAAUCAAGCGUUCUGCUCUUGCUGGGUUAAGUUAGAAUCUGCUCUUGCUGGGUUAAGUUAGAAUCUGCUCUUGCUGGGUUAAGUUAGAAUCUGCUCUUGCUGGGUUAAGUUAGAAUCUGCUCUUGCUGGGUUAAGUUAGAAUCUGCUCUUGCUGGGUUAAGUUAGAAUCUGCUCUUGCUGGGUUAAGUUAGAAUCUGCUCUUGCUGGGUUAAGUUAGGAACGUAUUGUAGACAUUCCAGUGGAGAUGCCAGUUUGGAAAUCUGCGGAAGAGGCAGGUUUGAAUAGAUGGACUUGGAGAUCAUUGCAGAGCUGGAGGAGACAGCUGGGCUGAGCUCUCAGGCUUGCCCACAUUUGUGUCUAGGGUGGGAAGGAGAAUCUGACAGAAAUAUCACGAUGUGGUUCCUGGUGAAAAACCUUCAUGGUUCCUCCUGGCUCUCAGUGUAAAAUCCAAGCUUCUUUACAUAGUAAACAAUUCACGAUCUGUCCCUGGUAUCUUUCCAACCUCUUCUCUCCUACUCCCUUCCUGGAACCUGCAUUCCAGACACUUUAACUCCUUGCAAGCCCUUGACAAAGCUGGCUUAGUUCUCCCCCAGGACUCCAAAUGGCCUGUCAGUUCUGUUGGAUGUGUCCUUCUGUUCUCUUCCAGAGUACUGUUUCUUCACAGCUUAAUUUGGAAGCCACUCCUUUUUCUGACUUCCUCCUGAGUUUGGAUUGGGUCCCACAGAGGUGUUCCUCUUGCCAGUGUGUUAUUAUCAUCGGUCUACUUGUCUGUCUUCCACUGGAUUAUAAACUCCUUGAGACAAAGGGUUCUGAUGUGUUCACCUUUGUCCUUGGAAGCUAUAAGGAUAACCAGCUCCUGGUAAGUAUUUGAACAACAUGCGCCAAUAUGGUACAUAUGUGAGCAUUGGGCGUUUGUUUUUUUUUCCUCUCCUGAAGCAGUCCAGUGCUCUGGAAGAGAGUCAGCUGGUCCUGUGUGGAGAAUGCUAUGGUUCUCAAGCAUUAGCAUGCAUCGGAGUUAUCUAGAAGACUUGGUAAAAUGCCGAGAGUUGUAUUUCAUCUCCGGUUUUUGAUUCAGUGGGUCUAGGGUGGGAACUGAGAAUCUGCAUUCUUGGGGGCCAUACCUGAGGCAUGCUGAAGUUCCUGGGCCAGGAAUCAAACCCAUGCCACAGCAGUGACAACACCAGAUCCUUAAGCUGCUGCACUACCAGGGAACUCCAGAAUUUGCAUUUUUAACAACUUCUCAGGCAGUGGUGAAGCUGCUGGUCCAACGACUCCCCAUUGCCCUAGGAACUUGCUCCAGUAAUGCAUUCUCACUGUCCACUCACCUCUGCCUUAUGCCUAUUAAGUCAGCCCUGACCCUGAGAUCUCCAAGAUGUUCAAAUCUGAGCUAAAUGAAGCUGUGCAAAGGUGUCCUGAUCCUACAGUGUGACACGAGAUAGCUAGGUUCUUCUGUUGCCUAAAGUGACACAGAGAUAUGCCUAAGUGAAAGGUACCCGCUUUAUGCAGAAGCUCCAUAAACCUCCUCCCUGUGAAAUACUGCUUGGGCCAAGCCUGAGUAGAGACACACUUUUCCUGCCUCUCAGGUUAUGCUAAGAGGUAUCCACUGCUAAACUAAAAAUUGUUUGUGUGAUUAAGGAGAGCUGGGUCAAGACAUGGACCAGAACCAUCUGAGAACUAGUUCUCGGUGCAGAGAUGGCCGUGUGUAGCUUUACAUGGGAAUUAAUCUGUGUCGGAUGCCUCAUGGACACACCUUAAAGGCUCUCAGGCCCACUUCUUAGUCCAGCCACCUUUUAACCCAGCGUCAGUGGCCAACUUUGCACAGGCUUCAGCUGUCCAGACCAGGUCCCCCUGCCCUGGAGCCUUGCUGACACUACUGCAAAAGACACCUGCAGGACCUUAUUCUGCCAUCAUGCCUACACAACUCUGAAGGUCAGAGACCCAACAGACCAAUGCUUUCCCCUUUUGUCCCUGGACGCACAUUUCAUAAGGCUUCCUCGAAGGUCCCCUGAACUUGAGCACCAGCCUCUGGAGACGGCCAACUUCAUCAGGCCUCUCUGAGUUGGCUCUCUCUUCCUGUACCACACUUUCCAGACCCUCACUCCUGCUCCCUGGAAUCACAGUCUUGAAUAAAAUACUGUCAAAUAAACUGCUUGUCUCGGCUUUUGGGGGGAAUUCAGGCUAAGUUAUCAUCUAAAGCAAAAGCUCUAUUGGGAAGUGAGGGUAUUGCUUCAAGACGCCUGUAAGGCCCAUGUGCCUUGUGAAGCCAAACCAUAGAUACGUGUAGAUAGAAAUUGAUGUGCUGCUGGUCCCUUAACCUCAUGACUGCUGUCCUCUGACUCGAGUGGUUUGAAAGCUUUGCAAGUAGCCCUCUGUACAAGUUCAGAGCACUGUUUAUGAAAUUUGAUGUUGGUUUGUGAGGACAUAUAACAGAUUUACUGGGCAGAGGGGAAAAAAAAUCUAUUUUUUUUUCGGUCAAACUUUGGGAAAUUUGGGAGCCAUGAAAAUAUUCAUGUCCAGCUACACAUGGGCAUUAUUAAUGAUAAUAAAAUAACAGUAUUUAGAUGGAAACUUGAAGGAUUUCCUCAUUUAAAUUCUGAGUCAUAAUUAUUAUUUCUUUCAAGUCUAGAUGAGUUUGUACAACCUCAACAUUUUCCAAGCAUGCUGAAAUUUCAGCUGACUUUCUCAGCCCGUCUGGGAGUUAGAUAAGGCGGUAUUCGUUUUUGCAUCUGUGAAAUGAAGCAGCAGAUGCUGAACUAGGUUAUACCUCCAUGACCCCCAACAAGGAUUCUUCUGGAUUCUUAGAGUCUAUUUUUAUUUUCAGAAUAAGAAAAUGGAGAAGGUAAGUGGCCGACUUAAACUUUCAGAGCCAGUUAGUGUGAAGGGUGACAAUCUGUGUCCUCUGGGUUAAGGUUAGCAAUGUUUAAAAAUGACCAUACAGGGCAAUAGGUUGGCCACACCCACAUGGCGCUUGGGUCAAAGUCCUGCAAUGAUUUUCUCUAGGGCUUCAAGAGAACAUGUCUUGCCUCCCCAAAAUCUUGCUACAGGAAUUGUAAAUCAGCACAACAGGUUGUCCAGAACUGCCAGCUUCAAAACUGAGAGCAAGUUAAUAAUUUAAGAAAGCAAGGGAGAGCACUCUAAAAGUUUAGCUUGAAUGCUUUGCCUGUCUUGAAAAUUGUUUCGUAGAGACUAAAGGUUAUUUGCUUGCCCAUAAUUACUU